AUACGGAGGGUCCGAGCGUUAAUCGGAAUUACUGGGCGUAAAGCGCGCGUAGGUGGUUCAGUCAGUCAGAUGUGAAAGCCCCGGGCUCAACCUGGGAACUGCACCUGAUACUGCUGAGCUAGAGUACGGUAGAGGGCAGUGGAAUUUCCGGUGUAGCGGUGAAAUGCGUAGAGAUCGGAAGGAACACCAGUGGCGAAGGCGACUGCCUGGACUGAUACUGACACUGAGGUGCGAAAGCGUGGGUAGCAAACAGGAUUAGAUACCCUGGUAGUCCACGCCGUAAACGAUGUCAACUAGCCGUUGGGGGACUUGAUCCUUUAGUGGCGAAGCUAACGCGAUAAGUCGACCGCCUGGGGAGUACGGCCGCAAGGUUAAAACUCAAAUGAAUUGACGGGG
rnacentral:rRNA from 1 species